rnacentral:tRNA from 1 species
GCAGUCGUGGCCGAAUGAUAAGGCGAUGGUCUAGAAAUCCAUUGGGGUCUCCCCACGCCGGUUCGAAUCCUGUCGCUGCG